rnacentral:rRNA from 1 species
GACGAACGCUGGCGGCGUGCUUAACACAUGCAAGUCGAACGGAAAGGCCCUGCUUGCCGGGUACUCGAGUGGCGAACGGGUGAGUAACACGUGGGUGAUCUGCCCUGCACUUCGGGAUAAGCCUGGGAAACUGGGUCUAAUACCGGAUAGGAGCCAUUUUUAGUGUGAUGGUUGGAAAGUUUUUUCGGUGUAGGAUGAGCUCGCGGCCUAUCAGCUUGUUGGUGGGGUAAUGGCCUACCAAGGCGGCGACGGGUAGCCGGCCUGAGAGGGUGGACGGCCACAUUGGGACUAAGAGACGGCCCAGACACCUACGGGAGGCAGCAGGGGGGAAUAUUGCACAAUGGGCGCAAGCCUGAUGCAGCGACGCCGCGUGGGGGAUGACGGCCUUCGGGUUGUAAAAUCCUUUCGCUAGGGACGAAGCUUUUUGUGACGGUACCUAGAGAAGAAGCACCGGCUAACUACGUG